rnacentral:lncRNA from 1 species
GGUUGACAAUAGGAGCUUCGAAUCGGUUUUAUCAUCUGUCGAGCGCUUAUAUUGUUGAUAACCAUCGAUGGGGGCAAGUCAUUAGAUAUGAAUGCAAUGAUGAAUGAUAGUCUUCACCUGGUGGAUAAUGCUAGGGACUUAUGUUGGUGCACCGGAUGAUGGGAUGGGAUACCCAUGAAGAUGACUACAAGAGGGAGUGGGCAGUGUACACGGUGGAUCUAGACAACGACAUCCUUAUUCCGGCCAAG